rnacentral:lncRNA from 1 species
UUAAGACGCUGUCAUUUUUCAGAAGAACCCAGCUUGCUUUGGAACUACAGUCAGCCCUGCAACUCACCCUCACCUUGGACCCUGCUGCUGCUGUCUGUAAAGACAAUGCUGCGAUGAAUACACCUGUGCAUUCUUUUUUAGAACGAGUGUAAGGAUUCCUAUGUGCUGUAAAUAGAAUCCAGCAUUUGUAUUGUCACCAGAGAGCACAGCUGUAUUGGUGAAGAGCCUUUACACAGAGGACACCCAUGACCCAGGGCACGGGCAGCUCUCAAGGCCCACCUACCAGUCCUGACUCAUCACCUCCAGCUCGGAUCAUCAUCUGCCCCAGCCCUGUUGGGUCAACCCUAAUCUGCAGCCCAGUACCUGCUUUCUGGAGGGGAGAAAUCAAAUCCUUGCUUCCAGGCUGCCAUCCCCAGCCCCCCGUCCAGUGCCCAAGGAAAGCCAGGAGGAGCAAAACUUACCAUCAAGGCCAGCGUCCGGAUCUCCUAAAAAACCAACACCAGGCAAUCAGUUGAAGAGCAAACCAAGAGUCAACUGGAAGGUUCUCACUGCACAGUCAUGGAAACAUGGGAGCUAGGCCCCUCAAAGGAGCGUGGGUCGAGGGAGACGCUUGCAGGUGGGCUCCAUGGCCCCCAGACUCACACCACCCCCACCCCACCUCUCGCUGAGGUUUGUAAUCACUGGAGAGAGAAUACAUAGCAUCUCCUAAGCAUGAUUAUACUCUGAGGCCGUCCUACAAUGGACUCAGGCACACCCUAAAUGGACUGCAACCUUUACUUCACUUUACUGAAGGGAAGGAAGCACCACCUCUUAUUCUUUCUAGUCACCUUCUGAGGACCCUCCCUUGUUCUUUCCUCUUCUCCCAGAACCCAGAUUUCAAAGUUGCUACGCACCUCCCUUUAAACAGACACAGUAUAGCAAAAUAUGGAACCACUCAAAAAAUAGAUCAGGGAGAUGAUUGUUGGCUUUAAAAGAGGAUUUUACACCUUGUAAAUGGAGUCACAUAUGGACACAGACUCCUUUGAAGAAGUGGUUCUUGAGCAGGGGCAAUUUCUUCCCCCAAGGGAUAAUUGGUCAUGUCUGGAGACAUAGUUUGGUUGUCACAGCUGAGGCUCCGGUGCUACUGGCAUCUAGCAGGUAGAGACUGGGGACGCUGCUGCACAUCCUACAACACACAGGACCGCCUCUCCCCCCACCACAAAGAUUCUCCAGCCUCAAAUGUCAACAGUGCCAAGGCUGAGAAACCCUGCUUUAAAGGGUGGGGAGCGGGAGCUCAUGAACUUGAAACAGGGUUAAACUGACACGAAAGGAGAUGCGUUCCAGGAAGAUUUUCUGCUGCAUGAAAGGGGGUUAUACAUGCAUUAAAGAAAUGGGGCCCCAGCACCCUGGAUGGGCCGUAACUUGUGGGGUGCCAGGAUAAUUCCACUAUGGCACUCAGGGGCCCUGAGGCAGGAUAACUGGCCAGCUGGGCCCAGACAGAGAGCCCCGGCCACCUGGAUGCCAGUAAUGGGGCCAUUUCCCAGGAGGCUACACAGCGGGAGGUCAAAGGAGAGAGAGCGAGGAAGCAGCUCUCCUGGAAGCGCUGCCUGAGGGCCUGAGGGCAGGGCCCCUACUCGGCUGUGUGGAAGGGCCCCCUGAUCAGGGCAUGGUGCAGAGCCUGAGAUCCAUGAGGAUCUUGGCCUCUGGGCUGGACCCUGCUCACCUGGAGAGCCUCAUUGAUGUUUCCAUUGUAAUCCACCAUCUCUCCUUUCCCCGGUUCUCCCUUGGAGCCCUAGAAGGCAAAUGAGAUCUCAACCCAGGGCCUGGACCAGGAGGGCCGGGAGGGCAACUGUGGCCUGCUCUCUAUCAGCCCACACUGGCUGCACCUGGCUGCACAUGGGUGGACCCAGAACAGCCAGCGGGGCCCUGGGGAUUCUGAACACUCUCAGAGGAUGCUCGGGGAUUGCAGAACAAAUCGAGAAGACUCCAUGUGAGAAGUCUGGGCUAGGCCGACCUGGGAAGAUUGGGUCCACCUGUGCUGCCAGUCAGACCUCCCACCUGAGGGCCAGAAUGCUCUUCCCCUCCUUCCUCGUCAAGACCCCAAGGUCAAGCCUGUGAAAGGGACAUAAAAACUUGGGACCCCAGUUCACUCUGCCAAAAGAAAAAAAGUUCAGCUGAAAGCUGAGUCAUGCAAGAAGCUGCCUUUCCUUUUGUUCCUAAUCAGACAGCUACAGAUAAAAGGUUAAAUAUCCCCACAGGUAGCUGCUCCAUGUUCACCACAGCUUACAUAAAGUGCCGAUUUACUGAGUGUGAGACUAAUACACAAUCAACUAUUCCGCUACUUGCUCCUUUUCCCUUGCAGUGUGUGGAUUACCAUACCCUUCCUCUUUCCCCUCCAGCCUGCUUUUCCCCUUUAAAUAUUGAAGCCCUCAAAAUCAUCUUUGGCAAAAGGCACAGACCUGUCUCUUGGGCACGUGCCCUUAACCUUGGCAAAAUAAACUUCUAAAUAUUAAUUGAGAC